rnacentral:rRNA from 1 species
GAUGAACGCUAGCGGCAGGCUUAAUACAUGCAAGUCGUGGGGCAGCAUGAGUAGCAAUACUUGAUGGCGACCGGCAAACGGGUGCGGAACACGUACACAACCUUCCGAUAAGUGGGGAAUAGCCCAGAGAAAUUUGGAUUAAUACCCCGUAACAUAUAGAGUAGGCAUCUUCUUUAUAUUAUAGCUUCGGCGCUUAUUGUUGGGUGUGCGUCUGAUUGGGUAGUUGGCGGGGUAACGGCCAACCAAGCCUACGAUCAGUAGCUGAUGUGAGGGCAUGAUCAGCCACACGGGCACUGAGAUACGGGCCCGACUCCUACGGGAGGCAGCAGUAAGGAAUAUUGGACAAUGGGCGAAAGCCUGAUCCAGCCAUGCCGCGUGAAGGAUUAAGGUCCUCUGGAUUGUAAACUUCUUUUAUUUGGGACGAAAAAAGGGAAUUCUUUCCCACUUGACGGUACCAAGUGAAUAAGCACCGGCUAACUCCGUGCCAGCCGCCGCCGUAA